UACGUAGGUGGCAAGCGUUGUCCGGAAUUAUUGGGCGUAAAGCGCGCGCAGGCGGUCCUUUAAGUCUGAUGUGAAAGCCCACGGCUCAACCGUGGAGGGUCAUUGGAAACUGGGGGACUUGAGUACAGAAGAGAAGAGUGGAAUUCCACGUGUAGCGGUGAAAUGCGCAGAUAUCAGGAAGAACACCCGUGGCGAAGGCGGCUCUCUGGGACGUGACUGACGCUGAGACGCGAAAGCGUGGGGAGCGAACAGG
rnacentral:rRNA from 1 species